ensembl:lncRNA
GCCCAUAGCUUUCCAGUGAAUGAAGCCUUAGCUCGACGCUCCACUUAGUCGCUCUUUUCCUUUUUUCCAAAAAUCGACAAGAGUCCUUGGUACAGUUUUUAAAUAUUUACUUACGAAUGUCCAAACAGGUACACAGUAACUGAAGCCAGAGUGAUCAAAACUUCAGUUCAGUUCAAAACGGACGCAUUGAGAUUGAGAGGUCAAAAAUCUGUGUGGCUCCACUCUCCUCUCGCCUAACUUCCUGGCUCUGCCAGACUAUCAAAAUAAAAGUAUACAUUUUAAGCACAAGAAAUCAAACUUGAAACUUAUUCCAUUAUUCGUAAUAUGUCAAUCUGUAAGUAUUACGUCCAAUAUAAUACAACACUAAGCAAGUGAGCCAUAACUUUAUAGUUUGAAUCAUAUAAACUCCACAAACUGCAUCUAGGCUCCUACAAUGCCUUUUGUGCAUACGUUAAAGAGUUAUGUUACUCAGAUUAUUACAGUUUCGAAUGAAAUGUUCUUUGUAAUAUGUCCGUCGUGGUUCCAAGUUUUUUUCUCCUGUUUAUCUAUCCAGUUCUGAGUUAUUAUGAUUGCCUUCUAGUUUACAUUGUUUAGUCUUCUAGUCUUUGUCUCUUAGUGUUUAUGCUUCCUGUUCUAUUUUGAUAGUCUCUUAUCUCAUGUGCAUUAUGUUCAGUUUUGCUUCCCUUGCCUCAUUAGUUGGGUUCAGUUCACUGUGUUUCUCCCCAGGUGUCUCCAUUCUGGCCUCAUUUCCUCUUGAGUAUUUAACCCCUCAGUUUGCUCGUGUUCUUGUUGUGUUCUCCAUCAUAACUGCGUCCUCCUGGUUUCUUUUGUGAGACAUAGACUAGCUAGUGCCCGUUUUUUUUUUUUUUGUUUUUUUUUUUUAAUGCUUCUCGAGAAAUGUAAGCAAUAAAGCUGUUACCAUACCAAAGACAUGCAUGCUUGGUUUAUUGAUGGUUUUAAAUGACCUGUAUGUGAGCAUGAAUGAUUGCUUUCUUUCUAUUCAGGUUGUACGCUGCCCCUCCCCCAACAGUCCAAAGAUUCAAUCAUCUCUUCUCAUUUUGUAAACCCUAUUAACUUCUCACCUUCAACCUCUACUGAAGUGUUUAUGACGUCAUAGUGUCACACUGCAGAUCCUAAUCAGAGCUUCUACUAAUAAAAAGCUUUAAAAACAGUGUUAUCAGCAAACAGGAGAGAUUCAGUCUGGAGUCAUUGUAGAGACGAAAGGCAAACAUGUCAUUUACUCUUGAGCUUGUUGGGAACAGCUGCAUGAACUCCAAAACAAAGAUAAAUUAGAUGAACCAGAUUAAGAAUUUUCCAUGACAAUCUGAGAGCAAGAGGAAAGGUCUGCUCAAGUGUACUACAUGAAAUAAUGAAAUUAGCAUUUUUCUAUCUGAAUCUGAAUUGGAAAACUGGCUGGAGCCCAUCAGUUAUCAUCCCUCUGGCAUCAGCUUUUCAAAAGAGAUUUUUACAGGGUGAUUCCAGUAAAAUGCUACUGUUCCUGGAGGGAUGCAUAAUUUCCUUCCACAAGUGCGCAUAACUGCCACCCUUCAUGACCUGUUCUUUUCUCGGGUUGUUUGAGUAUCUGGUAGAGUCACAAAAGGUCAAAGGUUUUUUUUUUCCUUCUUUUUUUUUACUCUGAGUGAUAAACAAAAAUAUACCAUAUAUUAUAUAUAUAUAUAUAUAUAUAUAUAUUACUACUUAUGCUCUUUGUGUUAAUACUGAGGCAUUAUUUCCAGUAGGUGUAUGAGACCAUGAAAACUUUAAAAACUGAACACCAGCUACAGCAUUGUUCUUCAUUUGCUGCAUUCAUUUCCACAAAAUCCUCCCUCCACCAGACUGUGAGAUAUGGAUCCAAAUAACAAUUUCCAUAAUAAUGAAAAGUGGCAUUGUGUUUUUCAGCUGUUCUCUGAAGUGUAGAACUAAUCCAAAUGUAAUUAAAAG